CGAUCGCUCAGUGCACAGACGGAGGAGAGACUGAUCCAGGAACCACGGAACGCCGCCUGUCAGUGAGCGCUGGCUGCAGAAAAAAAACGAACCCCCAAUGGCAGAAGAAAUUCCUGUUUUCUGAAGAAAAAAAGACGUGAUAGUGCUCAUCAUUGGAAAUCUGUGAAGAGAAAUGUCCAGAUGGAAGGGUUAGAGGCGUGGUACUGCCAUUCAUGUCAUCAUGACCCCUCCACAAUAUAAUACUUUGAUUCGCUGGUUACAUUGCAGGGGUGGAGCCACGAUGAUGUGAUUUAUAGCAAAUAACAUUAGUCCCCAGCUCCACCUUACGUCACAGGAAAUUUGGGGACAGGCUGGAGAAGUGUCACUGUCUACCCCAAAUUCAAAAGUAUCCAUGAAUUCCGUGAGACUAGGUAUAAUCAAUCACUGGACCUGAUCAUAGCAUAGUUUCAUCUAAACUAUUUAAAUCAUCUUGGGAUGCUCAUACUCUAACUGCUGAUGAAGCUGGAAGGUGGAACUGAUGUUGGGCAUAAAGUGUUACGGGUUUCUUCUGUCUGCAGAAUGCUUUGGACCUAUUUAACUUUGCUCCUUAGGUCAUGAUAAUAAAAAAACUGUUUCAUUACAAAAAAAAUUGGAGUGCGCUGUGCCCUAUAUGCUUAUCUCCUAAUGAUUGGGCGAGCUUUACACAUGGAAACCGGACACUCUAUGGCCCAUAUGUAAUCAUCUGAUGGUGACUUUUAUCUCAAGGUGUAUGAACAGCAUACUGUAGUUGUAGUUGUUGAUCAGUCCUCACCAUCUACUGACUCCAUUGACUGGAUAUUUUAUAGCAGAAUUUUGUGUCUCUGCCUAUUCAUUUAUAUCCGGUUUUCUUUGUUGGAAUAAGUCAUUUGGCUUCGGAGAACACAGACUUUACUUAAAUAUUCUUUUAGGAAUGACCUACUGUGAAAUUAUACAGACGUACAAGACAUGCAAUUAUGAAAGAAUACAUAUAUGGUAUUUCCUCAUCACUUGGUUGUGACACAUUUUACAUCAAAAAUAAAUUGGUGCAAU